AAAGGAAUAGACGGGGGCCCGCACAAGCAGCGGAGCGUGUGGUUUAAUUCGACGCAACACGCAGAACCUCACCCAGACUGGACAUGGCACUGCAUGGAGCGGAAACGUUCCAGCCUUCGAGGGAGUGCCACAGAUGCUGCAUGGCUGUCGUCAGCUCGUGUCGUGAGAUGUUGGGUUCAGUCCCGCAACGAGCGCAACCCCUAUGGCUAGUUACCUGUGUCUAGCCAGACUGCCCGUAAGGGAGGAAGGCGGGGAUGACGUCAAGUCCGCAUGGCUCUUACGUCUGGGGCUACACACACGCUACAAUGGCGACCGCAAUGCGCUGCGACCUGGCAACAGGGAGCUAAUCGCCAAGGGUCGUCUCAGUGCAGAUUGGGGGCUGCAACUCGCCCCCAUGAAGGCGGAGUUGCUAGUAACCGCGUAUCAGCGAUGGCGCGGUGAAUACGUACCCGGGCCUUGUACACACCGCCCGU
rnacentral:rRNA from 1 species